GGCGCACGGGUGCGUAACGCGUGGGAACCUGCCUUUAGGUUCGGAAUAACUCAGAGAAAUUUGAGCUAAUACCGGAUGAUGUCUUCGGACCAAAGAUUUAUCGCCUUUAGAUGGGCCCGCGUUAGAUUAGAUAGUUGGUGGGGUAAUGGCCUACCAAGUCGACGAUCUAUAGCUGGUCUGAGAGGAUGAUCAGCCACACUGGGACUGAGACACGGCCCAGACUCCUACGGGAGGCAGCAGUGGGGAAUAUUGGACAAUGGGCGAAAGCCUGAUCCAGCAAUGCCGCGUGAGUGAUGAAGGCCUUAGGGUUGUAAAGCUCUUUUACCAGGGAUGAUAAUGACAGUACCUGGAGAAUAAGCUCCGGCUAACUCCGUGCCAGCAGCCGCGGUAAUACGGAGGGAGCUAGCGUUGUUCGGAAUUACUGGGCGUAAAGCGCGCGUAGGCGGCUUUUCAAGUCAGGGGUGAAAUCCCGGGGCUCAACCCCGGAACUGCCCUUGAAACUGGAUGGCUAGAAUACUGGAGAGGUGAGUGGAAUUCCGAGUGUAGAGGUGAAAUUCGUAGAUAUUCGGAAGAACACCAGUGGCGAAGGCGACUCACUGGA
rnacentral:rRNA from 1 species